ACCGGUGUUUGCAUUUAAUUUCUUUUCAUUGGCUUUUCCAGGACAGCGGUCCAGGUCUCACCUUCCUAACAGGGUCAGAGAGCUCCCUUGCCAGCAAGGUACUGCCACCUUCGACUUCCACUUCCUCACUUCCUGGCAGGAUGCAGCUCAGGGCUCUCACCGGGUCCUGAGGCAACAAGGGAUCAGCCAAGGAAGGGACAGUGGGCCUCACCCCCCAUCAGACCUGAGAAGGGGCCCGAAGUGGAACAGAGACAACGGGACAGGUUUGGUCCCUGCAGUCCAGGGCUCCACCUACCACGACGAAAAACCUACUUUUCAGAAAAUGCCAGCCUCUAAGACGUCCCCGACAGGGGUGUUGGGAUCUUACUAUGUAGUUCAGCCUGGCCUUGAGCUCACAGCGAUCCUCCUGCCUCAGCCUCCCGAGUGUUGGGAGGACAGGUGUGCGCCACCGAGCCUGGGGUCAGCCUGCUUUUUGAAGGAGGGAUCGAACUUGGAACCUUGCAGCUUGCAAGACGGGCACCAGAACACCGAGCUAAAUCCCGGCCCAUGUGGACCAUAUCUUAACAUUAAAAAAAUUUUUUCCCUAAAAAUAAAAAUUCCAC
rnacentral:lncRNA from 1 species